rnacentral:rRNA from 1 species
GAAUCUUGCGCAAUGGGCGAAAGCCUGACGCAGCAACGCCGCGUGAGCGAAGACGGCCUUCGGGUUGUAAAGCUCUGUCAGGAGGGACGAAGCCACUCGGGUGAACAGCCCAGAGGGUGACGGUACCUCCACAGGAAGCCCCGGCUAACUACGUGCCAGCAGCCGCGGUAAUACGUAGGGGGCGAGCGUUGUCCGGAAUCAUUGGGCGUAAAGCGCGUGUAGGCGGCCGACCAAGUCCGGUGUGAAAGCUCAGGGCUCAACCCUGAGUCUGCACUGGAAACUGGCCGGCUUGAGUCCGGAAGAGGAGACUGGAAUUCCUGGUGUAGCGGUGAAAUGCGCAGAUAUCAGGAAGAACACCGGUGGCGAAGGCGGGUCUCUGGGACGGUACUGACGCUGAGACGCGAAAGCGUGGGGAGCAAAC